rnacentral:rRNA from 1 species
AACGAACGCUGGCGGCAGGCUUAACACAUGCAAGUCGAACGAUAUAGUGGCAGACGGGUGAGUAACGCGUGGGGAUGUGCCCUUCACUAAGGAAUAGCUUUUGGAAACGAAAGGUAAUACCUUAUACGCCCUUAGGGGGAAAGAUUUAUCGGUGAAGGAUCAACCCGCGUUAGAUUAGCUAGUUGGUGAGGUAAUGGCUCACCAAGGCGACGAUCUAUAGCUGGUCUGAGAGGACGACCAGCCACACUGGGACUGAGACACGGCCCAGACUCCUACGGGAGGCAGCAGUGGGGAAUCUUGCACAAUGGGCGAAAGCCUGAUGCAGCCAUGCCGCGUGAAUGAUGAAGGCCUUAGGGUUGUAAAAUUCUUUCAUCAGGGAUGAUAAUGACAGUACCUGAAGAAGAAGCCCCGGCUAACUUCG